UACGUAUGGUGCAAGCGUUAUCCGGAUUUACUGGGUGUAAAGGGAGCGCAGGCGGUGCGGUAAGUCUGAUGUGAAAGCCCGGGGCUCAACCCCGGUACUGCAUUGGAAACUGUCGUACUAGAGUGUCGGAGGGGUAAGUGGAAUUCCUAGUGUAGCGGUGAAAUGCGUAGAUAUUAGGAGGAACACCAGUGGCGAAGGCGGCUUACUGGACGAUAACUGACGCUGAGGCUCGAAAGCGUGGGGAGCAAACAGG
rnacentral:rRNA from 1 species